GAACAAUUCAACUUGCUUGGAGAAAGUAUAAGAAUGGGUUGAAGAAGAAACACUACUAUCGCUAUGCCAAUGACGAAAUUCGAAUGGCAAAAAGGCCUAAAGAAGUUUCAGAAUCUCAAUUUAAGGCUCUCCUCGAAUAUUGGAACUCCGAUGCGGCUCAAGACAUGUCCAGAAAAAAUACAGAGAAUCGAAAAAAGUUGAGGUAUCCACACACUGUUGGCAAAACAAGUUUUGCUAUAAUCCACGAGAAAAAAAAAGAAGGAAAAUCCUGAAGCUUUGUCUAGUAAGGAGUUUUUUGUGGCUACUAGAAGAAGGAAACCAGGCCGAGUAUACAAGGACUCAUAUGAAGAUACGGCUAGCAAAAUAGCUGAAAUGGAGAGAAUAGAAACUCAAGAAAGUGAAGAUGGCAGUCAAUCAGUUGACGCAUAUGUAUCAGUAAUGGGACCUGAUCAUCCAGGUCGAGUAAGAUUGUAUGGACGUGGGGUUACCAAGACUCUCUUGAAACAGAAAGCGGCGGAUACUGGACUCUCUUCAAAUGUUACUGAUGAAAUGGAGAAAAAAAUGGAGGAGAUAGAAGAGAGGAUGAAACAAAGAAUGCAGGAAAAA